rnacentral:rRNA from 1 species
UACGAAGGGGGCUAGCGUUGCUCGGAAUUACUGGGCGUAAAGCGCGCGUAGGCGGCUUUGUAAGUUAGAGGUGAAAGCCCGGGGCUCAACUCCGGAAUUGCCUUUAAGACUGCAUCGCUAGAAUCGUGGAGAGGUAAGUGGAAUUCCGAGUGUAGAGGUGAAAUUCGUAGAUAUUCGGAAGAACACCAGUGGCGAAGGCGACUUACUGGACACAUAUUGACGCUGAGGUGCGAAAGCGUGGGGAGCAAACAGG